UACCAGCACCCCGAGUGGUCGGGACGUUUAUUGGGCCUAAAGCAUCCGUAGCCGGUUCUACAAGUCUUCCGUUAAAUCCACCUGCUUAACAGAUGGGCUGCGGAAGAUACUAUAGAGCUAGGAGGCGGGAGAGGCAAGCGGUACUCGAUGGGUAGGGGUAAAAUCCGUUGAUCCAUUGAAGACCACCAGUGGCGAAGGCGGCUUGCCAGAACGCACUCGACGGUGAGGGAUGAAGGCUGGGGGAGCAAACCGG
rnacentral:rRNA from 1 species